AUUGAACGCUGGCGGCAUGCCUUACACAUGCAAGUCGAACGGCAGCGGGGGAGAAGCUUGCUUUUCCUGCCGGCGAGUGGCGAACGGGUGAGUAAUACAUCGGAACGUGCCCUGUAGUGGGGGAUAACUAGUCGAAAGAUUAGCUAAUACCGCAUACGACCUGAGGGUGAAAGUGGGGGACCGCAAGGCCUCAUGCUAUAGGAGCGGCCGAUGUCUGAUUAGCUAGUUGGUGGGGUAAAGGCCUACCAAGGCGACGAUCAGUAGCUGGUCUGAGAGGCCGAUCAGCCACACUGGGACGGAGACACGGCCCGGACUCCUAGGGGAGGCAGCAGUGGGGAGUUUUGGACAAUGGGCGAAAGCCUGAUCCAGCAAUGCCGCGUGUGUGAAGAAGGCCUUCGGGUUGUAAAGCACUUUUGUCCGGAAAGAAAUGGCUCUGGUUAAUACCUGGGGUCGAUGACGGUACCGGAAGAAUAAGGACCGGCUAACUACGUGCCAGCCGCCGCCGUAA
rnacentral:rRNA from 1 species